AUUGCAGAAUUCAGUGAAUCAUCGAAUCUUUGAACGCACAUUGCGCCCGCCAGCAUUCUGGCGGGCAUGCCUGUUCGAGCGUCAUUUCAACCCUCAAGCUCUGCUUGGUGUUGGGGCCCUACAGCUGAUGUAGGCCCUCAAAGGUAGUGGCGGACCCU
rnacentral:rRNA from 1 species